rnacentral:tRNA from 1 species
CCGGUCUUAGCUCAGUUGGUAGAGCACGUGACUGUAGAAGUUGCAAAUAUCAUGGGGUCGCUGGUUCGAUUCCGGCAGACCGGA